rnacentral:rRNA from 1 species
UACGUAGGGGGCAAGCGUUGUCCGGAAUUAUUGGGCGUAAAGAGCGCGUAGGCGGUCCGAUAAGUCGGCUGUGAAAGUCAGGGGCUCAACCCUGGGAAGCCGGCCGAUACUGUCGGACUAGAGUCCGGAAGAGGCGAGUGGAAUUCCCGGUGUAACGGUGAAAUGUGCAGAUAUCGGGAAGAACACCCGUGGCGAAGGCGGCUCUCUGGGACGGUACUGACGCUGAGACGCGAAAGCGUGGGGAGCGAACAGG